GUGGGGGAUAUUGCACAAUGGGGGAAACCCUGAUGCAGCGACGCCGCGUGAAGGAAGACGUACUUCGGUAUGUAAACUUCUAUCAGCAGGGAAGAAGAUGACGGUACCUGACUAAGAAGCCCCGGCUAACUACGUGCCAGCAGCCGCGGUAAUACGUAGGGGGCAAGCGUUAUCCGGAUUUACUGGGUGUAAAGGGAGCGUAGACGGUGAAGCAAGUCUGAUGUGAAAACCCGGGGCUCAACUCCGGGAUUGCAUUGGAAACUGUUUUACUUGAGUGCUGGAGGGGCAAGCGGAAUUCCUGGUGUAGCGGUGAAAUGCGUAGAUAUCAGGAAGAACACCGGUGGCGAAGGCGGCUUGCUGGACAGUAACUGACGUUGAGGCUCGAAAGCGUGGGGAGCAAACAGGAUUAGAUACCCGGGUAGUCC
rnacentral:rRNA from 1 species